GAUGAAGAACGUAGCAAAAUGCGAUAAGUAAUGUGAAUUGCAGAAUUCAGUGAAUCAUCGAAUCUUUGAACGCACAUUGCGCCCGCUGGUAUUCCGGCGGGCAUGCCUGUUCGAGCGUCAUUUCAACCCUCAAGCCCCCGGGUUUGGUGUUGGGCGUCUGUCCCGCCUCUGCGCGCGGACUCGCCUCAAAAUCAUUGGCAGCGGUCCUUGCCUCCUCUCGCGCAGCACAUUGCGUUUCUUGAGGGGCGCGGGUCGCGUCCACGAAGCAACAUUACCGUCUUUGACCUCGGAUCAGGUAGGGAUACCCGCUGAACUUAAGCAUAUCAAUAAGCGGAGGA
rnacentral:misc_RNA from 1 species